rnacentral:lncRNA from 1 species
CCAGCCACUUCGGUAUCGAAUUGCUAAUGAUCCUGAUUUGGUGCGUGAACAAGAAGCGAAGUGAAUAAAAUACUACCGAUCAUUAGUCAUAUAAGAACUAAAUCUUUAUAUAUCUUUGAAAAAUAUCGAAGAAACAUCGUGUUCUAACUUAAAAGAAAUUGAAAACAUGUGCAUCAAAGCGAUGGUAGCAAGUUGCGAGUUGGAAAACCUGUUGAUACAAGCCACGUGCUUCGAUUAUUUUAGUCGUGUGCCACUCAUCUUAAUACUCUCUUCGUAGUGUCAUUUACUGACAAAAAGGGAUUUACUGUAAUAUUUACAGCGAGUAAAAAAAUGCGUUAAGAUCGACGAUUUUAGCUGAAAGAAGCAAACACGUAAAUAUUAUGUCUCAUGAUUCUUUUUACAUAUUGUACCGCGAGUAAUUCAUCUUUCGACCGAAUUAUACGCACGUGUCUACUUCCUGGUGUCAUUGCGUUCGAUGCAGUGACUCGCACGUGUAGAUCUCGAGCGGUCGUAUCCUACCCCAUCAGAGCGCAAAAAGAACGCCACGACCGUUACAAUAGUGUUAAUCUAUUUAUCUGACUAACAACAAACUUAUCUUGUGACUCAUUCACCGACGGAUUCGCGUCGCUGAGAGGGCCGAUCGCUUUCCGCUUGUGCGCCCGUUGUCUACGUACGCGACACACUCAAUUUUUAUUGCCAGAUUAAUGACCGUCAGUUAUAUCGUCGUUUUCUGUCCGUAAAAAAUUUGUUUACAUCAAGAAGUCAUUUUAUCGUGUUUUGUUACAUUUGUUAAAGUUCUAUCUCGCAAUUUUCUAUGCUGGCCAUGUAAAAAACCUUGUUCAAGAAAGUGUCUCAUCAUGGUUUACGUUCUUCGUGAUAACGGUAGAUUUUGAUUGGUUUGUUUGAUUUUACAUCGCAAUAAACGGUGUAUACACUUUUAAAUGAUUUGUGGCUACAGAGACAAUGAUCGAAAGCUUUUUUCUGGCCUUUCGAUUUUUGUGAUAUUCUUUUUUGUCUAGAGAUAAAGGGAUUCUCAAAACGGUGCUCCCUGGUGACUGUUGUUCGUCUCAUUUUUAUUGGAGUUGGAGUAUUGAGAGAUUAAGAAGAACGUUAAAGAGGGGAUACGAUGCGGGAUAUUUUAGAAAAAUUGGAGGAGUUUAGAGCGAUCAAAAAAUACCGUCAUUUUUAUAUCAAAAUAUAUUUGUGCAUAGACAAGAAGACAACCGUGACAGGUAAUCUCGUACCUAACAUACAUCAGUCAUACGCCAAGGAACGCGUGCACAUGCACGUACACGCUGGUGUGCGGACAUGCGUGAUGUACGCGGGCAUACACACGCAAGUGAUGAACGCGUACACACUUUUGUUUAAGUCGUGCAUCAUUGAGAGACCCGAUAAAUGUCUUAGAAAAGGAGACAUUAAAAUAAAAUAAAAUAAAAUAAAAUAAAAUAAAAUAAAAUAAAAUAAAGAAGAGAAAAAGUAUUAAACUUGCCGCACAAGUACGUAUAUAAGGUAAUAACAAAUAUCGUUCUCUCGCACGCGAUCAAAUCUACGAACGAGGAAGACAAAAAGAAAAAGGAUGAAGCCCGCUUCACGCGAUUUUUACGGUAACUCAAGAUAAAGGGGAUUUGGUUAGACCAAAUCCCAGGUAACGUCGGUGAAUUAUCUAUCUCUCCUCUCUUCCUCUCUCGCCGCAAUCGCCUAACUCGUCGUUCACAUUAACACAUAAUUAUAACGAUUAGUUUUCUUAUACACAUGCUCGCACACAUUCGACAUUUUUUAUAAUUUUUUAUUUUCUCUUCCCUUUCGUCCUUUCACGCUCUCUCGUUCUCUCACAAAAAACACGAGUCCGCUUCGUUUCGUUUCUCUAACAAAAUAUAUUAGCUUUUUUUUAUGUACAUACAUCUCGAAUAUAAUAAAAUUAAAAUAGAGCUAUAAUACAAGGGCAUGUGAAUGAGUGCUUUUCUUUUUUCCCGCGUAUAUGUGUAUGUGUGUAUGUGUGUGUGUAUGUGUGUGUGUUUUAGGGUAUGGUUGCGCCGUUUCACCCUGUCGAAGAAAA